ACCCCAUAUUCACUUUAUUCUGUUUUAUUUGCAGUAAGAGCAAUCCACUUUCUGUUCUGCCUCUUCUUCCUUAGCAUACAAAUAACAUUCAUUCACUUUUGUAAGUGGACUCCUUCCUCUUUACAGCAGUCUUGUUCUGAAGCAGACAAUGCUGUACUGAGUGUGCCUGGGAGAGGAGCAGCCUCCUAGAUUUUCCUUGCAAUACAUGGGACACCUGACUGAGGAAUUCCUAGUUUUCUCCAAAGUCACUCCUCUGAACAUGAAGAAGGAUAAGGCAGGGAGAAGGAGGUGGAAAGACAUGGAGCAUUUGUUUCUCCUUGCUUAAGGAGGUUGCAGAAGUUUCUGAGGGUUGGAAAGGUGUCAAAGCAAACUCAUCCUUCAGAGUUUGUUGGGGGCCAAACAUCCCUAUGAGUCACAUCUGUCCUGUUGAGCUCCUCCCUGCACAUGAUGAUAAAGAGAACCUGGUGCCUCCUUCCCUCUGUGUCUGCUGUACUCAGCUGCCCCUGGGGCUGCCAAGGAGAGAACAACUGCCUCCCAUCUCUAGAGACACAGGUACAGAGGCUGAUGCUGCCCAGCUGAGGCAGGGACAUGGCAUGUAAGAGCCCAUGAAGUGCUGUGAUGGUGGAGUCCGAGCUUGCUCUGUGCUGGAGUUCAGACAAAUCCUGCCUGCCUGGCUGAGCUGGCUGCUUGGAGCAGAAACAAAGCCAGGCAAUGAAGCAGGAAAGACCAGUAUGACACUUAUGCACGGUAGCAUAACUGUUGGCAGGCUGCGACUGCAUGUGCUGUACAUGGGGCUUUAAAGCUUGGACCUACUGAUAUGGUUAUGUUUGUCUGUAUAGAUUUUACUACAGUAAAAUAACCUUUAAGUAUACCUCAGUAUGCCAUUAAGCGAUAUGGAUAUAAUUGUUGCACAGAGCCCUUUUCAUCCUCUGUCUGUGGGGAAAGGUAUGCUGCAGUGGACACAUUUGUAAAGGAAUUAGUUCUUUGUUUGCUAGAUAUGGCACAUUUCUUAGCUCUUGCUGUGACCUUCAAACAGAAAUGGUUAGGCUUGCAGUGGUUCUUGGCUCCUGUGGGAGAUAUUUUCCUCGUCUUCAGCCAGCACCAGAGAAAGUGGUAUCUGCUGCAAGCUUGAGUUAGACUUGAAACAAAUCUAAGGGUGUGGAACACAUGUGCUCACCUGAAUAUAGGUGUCAUGACAUAUCUCUGCAUCUGAAAAUGCUGCAAUGAUGUGCUGAGGGUUUCUGCAGACAUGUGAGUGUUCAAAUCAGAGUACCAGUACCAUUCACAGUGUCUUAAGCAUUUUUCUGCCAUUUCCCACUCCUUUUUUUGGCUGCUGUGCUCCACUGUAACAGUUCUUCAUUGCCAAACCAUGCAUUCAGGUACUGAAGAUAAUUACAAGAUAAAUUAAGGGGUAAUUUUUUAAAGAGGAAAAAUUUUUACUUCAUAAUUCCCAUCCCCCCUUCUAUGCCAAAGUGGUGGGGGUCAUUUUAUUCAGCACAUCUAAAGCAUUUACCUUUAGGGGAGGAUAAAAAUAUUUCUCCUAAAAUGUGAAUAUUUAAAUAAGUAUUUUCUAAAGUCAGGAAAAGGACACCAGCUUCAUUUCUGCAUGAGCUUCUAAAGAAUUUAGCAGCAUGCUUGUGGAAGCUUAGCAAUACCUGGAUUGCUGUUUAUAGAGAGGAAUGCUGCAAGGCACAGACUGCGUACCUUAUUCUUCAACCAGAAGUGGUGAGAUACUGAGAGAGUUGUCUGUGUGCUGCCCUGUGAAGCCUUCCAAGCUGACAUAGCUGCUGGCUGGUCUGAUGCAGGUCAGCAGGUCUUAAUGGCUGCAAUUCCACCGAAGCUGUCAUUUCAAUAAAUGCUCCUUCCA